rnacentral:rRNA from 1 species
CGGACGGGUGAGUAACACGUGGGUUAACCUGCCUAAAAGAAGGGGAUAACACUUGGAAACAGGUGCUAAUACCGUAUAUCUCUAAGGAUCGCAUGAAUCCUUAGAUGAAAGAUGGUUCUGCUAUCGCUUUUAGAUGGACCCGCGGCGUAUUAACUAGUUGGUGGGGUAACGGCCUACCAAGGUGAUGAUACGUAGCCGAACUGAGAGGUUGAUCGGCCACAUUGGGACUGAGACACGGCCCAAACUCCUACGGGAGGCAGCAGUAGGGAAUCUUCCACAAUGGACGCAAGUCUGAUGGAGCAACGCCGCGUGAGUGAAGAAGGUCUUCGGAUCGUAAAACUCUGUUGUUAGAGAAGAACACGAGUGAGAGUAACUGUUCAUUCGAUGACGGUAUCUAACCAGCAAGUCACGGCUAACUACGUGCCAGCAGCCGCGGUAAUACGUAGGUGGCAAGCGUUGUCCGGAUUUAUUGGGCGUAAAGGGAACGCAGGCGGUCUUUUAAGUCUGAUGUGAAAGCCUUCGGCUUAACCGGAGUAGUGCAUUGGAAACUGGAAGACUUGAGUGCAGAA